rnacentral:rRNA from 1 species
UAAUACGAAGGGGGCUAGCGUUGCUCGGAAUGACUGGGCGUAAAGGGCGCGUAGGCGGUUGACACAGUCAGGUGUGAAAUUCCCGGGCUUAACCUGGGGGCUGCAUUUGAGACGUGUUGACUAGAGUGUGAGAGAGGGUUGUGGAAUUCUCAGUGUAGAGGUGAAAUUCGUAGAUAUUGGGAAGAACACCGGUGGCGAAGGCGGCAACCUGGCUCAUAACUGACGCUGAGGCGCGAAAGCGUGGGGAGCAAACAGGAUUAGAUACCCUGGUAGUCCACGCUGUAAACGAUGUGUGCUGGAUGUUGGGUAACUUAGUUACUCAGUGUCGUAGCUAACGCGAUAAGCACACCGCCUGGGGAGUACGGCCGCAAGGUUGAAACUUAAAGGAAUUGACGG